rnacentral:rRNA from 1 species
GAUGAACGCUGGCGGCGUGCCUAAUACAUGCAAGUCGAGCGAACGGACGAGAAGCUUGCUUCUCUGAUGUUAGCGGCGGACGGGUGAGUAACACGUGGAUACCCUACCUUUAAGACUGGGAUAACUUCGGGAAACCGGAGCUAAUACCGGAUAAUAUUUUGAACCGCAUGGUUCAACAGUGAAAGACGGUCUUGCUGUCACUUAUAGAUGGUUCCGCGCUGCAUUAGCUAGUUGGUAAGGUAACGGCUUACCAAGGCAACGAUGCAUAGCCGACCUGAGAGGAUGAUCGGCCACACUGGAACUGAGACACGGUCCAGACUCCUACGGGAGGCAGCAGUAGGGAAUCUUCCGCAAUGGGCGAAAGCCUGACGGAGCAACGCCGCGUGAGUGAUGAAGGUCUUCGGAUCGUAAAGCUCUGUUAUUAGGGAAGAACAGAUGUGUAAGUAACUGUGCACAUCUUGACGGUACCUAAUCAGAAAGCCACGGCUAACUACGUG